rnacentral:misc_RNA from 1 species
AUCAUUACCCUUAAAUGGAACACAAGAAGAUGCAUAAUUUUACAAUAACACGGUUGAAAUCAAGGGAAUUAGAAUAAAAAUACAUGGGGAUUGCGAGUGGAUUUCACAAAGCAAAGGAGUUCGUCAAUCCAUUCAAAUGCAUGCUAAUUGCUAAGUUAAGCUAAGCAAAAGCAAAAUAUAUUGAUGCCCCACACAUGAAAUUGUCAUGAAAUAUAAAUAUGGUUUUCUCAAAACCAAGAGAACACCUUUAUUCUCAACAUCACAUUACAUUCCAUUGCAUAACAUAGCAUAAUCCAUGCUAAUUUCAUCACAUCCUCAGUAAGGUACAAUCUUCCAUAGUUGGUUCUCUCCUUCCUUCCAUUUCCAGAGGACAAUGUGGGUGCCAUCAUGAACUCCACCAGAAUAUUUGUCCCCAUGAUAUGCAUCAACAUUCAAGUGAACGUUAUUCACCAUCCUUAUGGCUCUGUAACCAUCCCCAAACUCCUUGCUCUGUGUCCACAGUACCGACUCGUCCACCACAUUUGGAUCAUAACGUGUCAGCUGAACCGGAUGAGUAGCUCCGAUGGAAUGUUUCAUCGCCUGACCGGUGGCCUUGUUCACGAGGGCAAAGCAGGGACAUCCUUCCUCAUCCUUAAUCCUUGUACUGUAUUUCUCAUCUUUGAACCAGUGUUGAGCGGGAUCGUAGGGAUCGGAAGGGACAAGAACGACUUUGCCGUCGCGGAUGGCGAGGGAGAAAUUAGGGUUUGCUUUGGCGUAGACCUUCACCGUUGGCCUGUUGGAGAAGGGAGAAUCGGAUUGAUGAGAGUGUUGGUGAAUAACCGUGGGAGAGUGUGGAUGGUGAGAGUGGUGGUGCACGACCGGAGGCGGCGGUCCGGAGGAGUAUCCGUAGUCGGGAACCGGCGGUUCCGGAGGGAAAUUGGACUGGUAGUCAACGUACGACGGCGGAGGAGGCGGCGGCGCCUCACCGUAGUGAGUGUGGUGGAUGUGGGGAACCAGUGGCGGCGGUGGAUCGGAGUACGGCGGUCUGUAUCCCGGUGGAGGAUGACGAGGUUCGUCGUCUUCAUCGUCGUCACGGCGGUGGUGGUGGUGGAAGGGGAAAGCCAUUUUUUCCGAUCUUUGG